rnacentral:rRNA from 1 species
UUGUUGUUAAAGAAGAACAUUUCUGAGAGUAACUGUUCAGGUAUUGACGGUAUUUAACCAGAAAGCCAGGGCUAAUUACGUGCCAGCAGCCGCGGUAAUACGUAGGUGGCAAGCGUUGUCCGGAUUUAUUGGGCGUAAAGCGAGCGCAGGCGGUUUUUUAAGUCUGAUGUGAAAGCCUUCGGCUCAACCGAAGAAGUGCAUCGGAAACUGGGAAACUUGAGUGCAGAAGAGGACAGUGGAACUCCAUGUGUAGCGGUGAAAUGCGUAGAUAUAUGGAAGAACACCAGUGGCGAAGGCGGCUGUCUGGUCUGUAACUGACGCUGAGGCUCGAAAGUAUGGGUAGCAAACAGGAUUAGAUACCCUGGUAGUCCAUACCGUAAACGAUGAAUGCUAAGUGUUGGAGGGUUUCCGCCCUUCAGUGCUGCAGCUAACGCAUUAAGCAUUCCGCCUGGGGAGUACGGCCGCAAGGCUGAAACUCAAAGGAAUUGACGGGGGCCCGCACAAGCGGUGGAGCAUGUGGUUUAAUUCGAAGCUACGCGAAGAACCUUACCAGGUCUUGACAUACUAUGCAAAUCUAAGAGAUUAGACGUUCCCUUCGGGGACAUGGAUACAGGUGGUGCAUGGUUGUCGUCAGCUCGUGUCGUGAGAUGUUGGGUUAAGUCCCGCAACGAGCGCAACCCUUAUUAUCAGUUGCCAGCAUUAAGUUGGGCACUCUGGUGAGACUGCCGGUGACAAACCGGAGGAAGGUGGGGAUGACGUCAAAUCAUCAUGCCCCUUAUGACCUGGGCUACACACGUGCUACAAUGGAUGGUACAACGAGUUGCGAACUCGCGAGAGUAAGCUAAUCUCUUAAAGCCAUUCUCAGUUCGGAUUGUAGGCUGCAACUCGCCUACAUGAAGUCGGAAUCGCUAGUAAUCGCGGAUCAGCAUGCCGCGGUGAAUACGUUCCCGGGCCUUGUACACACCGCCCGUCACACCAUGAGAGUUUGUAACACCCAAAGUCGGUGGGGUAACCUUUAGGAACCAGCCGCCUAAGGUGGACAGAGAUGGA